GUCUCUCUAGCCCAACCGGCAGAGGCAGCCGCCUCAAACGCGGCCCAGUGUGGGUUCGACCCCCACGAGAGACACCA
rnacentral:tRNA from 1 species